GAUGAAGAACGUAGCGAAAUGCGAUAAGUAAUGUGAAUUGCAGAAUUCCGUGAAUCAUCGAAUCUUUGAACGCACAUUGCGCCCGCCAGUAUUCUGGCGGGCAUGCCUGUUCGAGCGUCAUUACAACCCUCAGGCCCCCGGGCCUGGCGUUGGGGAUCGGCGGAAGCCCCCUGUGGGCACACGCCGUCCCUCAAAUACAGUGGCGGUCCCGCCGCAGCUUCCAUUGCGUAGUAGCUAACACCUCGCAACUGGAGAGCGGCGCGGCCAUGCCGUAAAACACCCAACUUCUGAAUGUUGACCUCGAAUCAGGUAGGAAUACCCGCUGAACUUAAGCAUAUCAAUAAGCGGAGGA
rnacentral:misc_RNA from 1 species